CAUCAAUACGGAUUGGAACAUUCUCUGCGGGGAUAUGUGAUUUUGUUAUCCUUUUCAAGUCUGUAAAUGCGUCUGGAAUUUGAUUUGCUAUUCUUUGCAAAUGAAUAAUCUUUUGCACCUUCACAAAUAGAGGCACAUGGAUCAAGAUGAGAUAAUGAUGAAUUUUUUCACAAAAUUUCCUGUUUGGUUUCACCAACUUCUCCCCCUAAUUUUGGGAAAAGUGUCUCAUCGAAUCGACAGUCUGCAAAUCGUGC
rnacentral:lncRNA from 1 species